AUAUAGUAAAAACUUAGAACAUAGGAAAUUAGAACAUUGGGGAAAAAAAUUAGAUCAUAGGAAAAAAAAUUGGAACAUAUGAAAAAAAAUUUAGAACUUAGAUAGAAAAAUUUACUACUACAUUUUUUAUCUAAUGCAACGGCGAAGACGGAGCUAAUACAACGGCUCUACUAUUAUUAGACAAGGCUAAUACAACGGCAUCAUGUUAAUAUAUCAAACACUGGGCUAAUACAACGGUUUUAAAAAACCGUUACAUUAGGCCAGCUAAUCCAACGGCUCAUUUUGGCUAAUCCAAUGGCAAUAUUGCCUAAUCCAACGGCAAAAUAUCUAAUACAACGGCACUGUUUUUGUAUAGGCGCCAAAACGAAAUUUCCAUUUAUUAACUUCCCUCCUCAUUUUUCCCCAAAUUCAUCUCACUACGCUCGCAAUUACCCAGAAGAUAACUCAUUUUCCCCUAAUUUUCAUUUUUAGCUAGCUCUGUCUAUAUUCCCACGCCCUUCAGUUCCUCAUUUUUCCCAAUUCAGUGCCCAGCUUUGUUCACAAAUUCACAUUUUUUUUUCCUAAUUCUCUCUCUUCUUCCUCUUCAAAUGGUAGAUUAGGCGAAUUGAAGGAAGGCGCUGGCGGUAGCGGUGGUGGUGGCUGAUUGUUCGACUCUUGCAUGUGACAAAUUUCCUCGGAUCUUUAAGGUGAAGAUAAAAAAGGACUUAAGAUAAAUAGAAUAAGGUGUUGAACAAUUGCCGGCAGCACAAAGGGUUUUUUAUCUUUAAGUUGCCUUGGAAGUAACAUCAACAACAGAUAUAAAGGCGAGAGUUUUCGUAGUUUCCGAGCCCGUUUGGGCAUGAUUGUAGAGAUCCUUAUGAGUUUCAGCUUUGUCUUGUCUCAGUUGGAAAUUUAGAAGCUGCAGUUAGUUUAUUACUAUCCACUUCCCCUGAAAGCCAUUACUUCUAUGCAAACGCGCUGCGUGCAGUUGCCCUCGCUUCUGCUGUGUCAAAGUCUCUUCUUGAACUUGCUGUUAAGGUUGUUGCAGCUAAACUAUUGUCUGGCACUCAUCUUCUUUGUGCUGUUGGAAGGCAUCAAGAAGCUUGUUCUCAGGCCAAUUUUCUCCCCUUCUUAGGAUAGCCAUAGAAGGGUAAAAAGGAACAAAAUUGUGUAUUCAAAUUAAUUUAAACGAAACUCAGUCAAGAAUAGUGGGAUAGGGGAAGUAGGAUGACCACUUAUUGCGGUGCAUAGGAUGGGUGCUUCCUCAUAUUCGUCCCCCUAGGCUUCUAUGUGACUCUCAGUGCUGCAGAAAUACAUUAAGUAGACUUCCGUUGCUGCAUUUCCAGUAGGACUUGUGCAAAAACCACUUGGCCUCUAGUCUAUUAAGUGCCUUAAUCAAGAGGAGACAAGUGCUGCUCGAGUGUAGCUUAUUGCAGUACUGUUUGUGCUCUGUGGCUGUUGAUAAGUUUUAUUUCAGACAAAUAUAAUGGGUUGCUCUUAAAAUUUGUGUGAUGAUCUACUAAAAAUCUAAGCCAAAUUGGAAGAUUAUGUGCGACUCAUGUGGGAUUUUGGUGCAUGGCGAGCUAGAUGGAGGUGAAUGAAGUACAAUGAUUAUAUAUUGUCAUCCAACAAAUGGAGCGUACACGUCGGUGACUAAUUUUAUUUAGUUCGAGCUUGUGAAGAUUAGGAUUUGUAUUUUGGACGAUUUUUAAUUAGUAAACUUUUAUUAUUUAUUAUUAGUUAGUAUCGGUAGUGUAACAUAUAUAUGGAAACAAUAUUUUGUAAUGUAACGUACAUAUUAUAUAUACUUCGUUUAUUGUUAUAAAUAUAUUGAUAUAUUUUAUAUUUA